UACGGGAGGCAGCAGUGGGGAAUAUUGCACAAUGGGCGCAAGCCUGAUACAGCGACGCCGCGUGGGGGAUGACGGCCUUCGGGUUGUAAACCUCUUUCGACAGGGACGAAGCUUUGGUGACGGUACCUGUAUAAGAAGCACCGGCUAACUACGUGCCAGCAGCCGCGGUAA
rnacentral:rRNA from 1 species